UCCAUAUAGGUGGAAGUUUGUUGAAAAACUAAGUAAAACACAUAUUCAUAACCCCACACUGACGUUGAGGAUGAACAAGAGUAGCCAUAGCCGAACGUCAAAGACGAGACACAGAGUACACUGUGAAAAACGCAUAAUGCGAAUCCAUAUAGGUGGCAAUUUGUUGAAAACUAAGUAAAACACAUAUUCAUAACCCCAUUCUUAUUGAACCUCACGUUGAGAUUGAACAGGAGUAGCCGAACCCGAACGUCAAGGACUAGACACAGAGUACAUUGUGAAAAACGCAUAAUGCGAAUCCAUAUAGGUAACAUACACAAAGUACAUUGAAAAAAAAAUGCAUAAUGCGAAUCCAUUUAGGUGACAAUUUGUUGAAAACUAAGUAAAACACGUAUCCAUAACCCCACUCUUUUUUAACCUCACGUUGAGAUUGAACAAGAGUAGCCGAAGCCGAACGUCAAGGACUAGACACAGAGUACACUGUGAAAAACGCAUAAUGCGAAUCCAUAUAGGUGACAAUUUGUUGAAAACUAAUUAAAACACAUAUCCAUAACCCCACUCUUAUUUAACCUCACGUCGAGAUUGAACAAGAGUAGCCGAAGCCGAACGUCAAGGACGAGACACAGAGUACACUGUUAAAAACGCAUAAUGCGAAUCCAUAAAGGUGAAAAUUUGUUGAAAAAACUAAGUGAAAAAACAUAUUCAUAAUCCCACCCUUAUUCAACCUCAAGUUGAGAUUAAACAAGAGUAGCUGAAGCCGAACGUCAAAGACGAAACACAGAGUACACUGUGAAAAGCGCAUAAUGCGAAUCCAUAUAGGUGACACACACAAAGUACAUUGUAAAAAAAAUGCAUGAUGCGAAUCCAUAUAGGUGGAAGUUUGUUGAAAAACUAAGUAGAACACAUAUUCAUAACCUAACACUCACGUUGAGGAUGAACAAGAGUAGGCAAAGCCGAACGUCAAAGACGAGACACAGAGUACACUGUGAAAAACGCAUAAUGCGAAUCCAUAUAGGUGACAAUUUGUUGAAAACUAAGUGAAACACUUAUUCAUAACCCCACUCUUAUUUAACCUCACGUUGAGAUUGAACAAGAGUAGCCGAAGCCAAACGUCAAGGACGAGACACAGAGUACACUGUGAAAAAAAGCAUAAUGCGAAUUCAUAUAGGUAACAUACACAAAGCACAUUGUAUGAAACGCAUAAUGCGAAUCCAUAUAGGUGACAAUUUGAAACACAUAUUCAUAACCAUACUCUUAUUUAACCUCAUGAUGAAGUUGAAUAAGAAUAGCCGAUUAUCUCGGAGAAGUAAAAAGUCAACUACGCCAUAGCUCCGGUUAGCGCAGCGAGGGCUAAAAUACUGUGAAGGGGGCCCUGGUGCUUCACAGGCUCCGUUUGCGGUUAGGUUCUUAUUAGACCCCCCUAACCAUUCAUUCGUAGGCACGGUAAGCAUAAAGCCGCAUCACACCAAGAAUUAGGGGUCACCUGUAUGGUGGACUUUUACCACUGGAACAGGCAAUCCGUAAUGUUAUUCUUAGCCAGAUAACCAGCUGCCGACACCACACGGCUAUCUAGGCUGUUCGUGGAGAGAAGUUGACAUUGACUUUACGUCAACUCUCAAUGUGGCCGAACAGCCGAUUAGUUGGGUAAUACUGUUGGGUAAUACUGUUGAUGAUAGAUCGGGUACUGUGCGUAGUUCGAGUUUAAGAGGCAUACUGGAGUUCCUGUUGAAAUGCGCAGAUAGGUAACGCAAAAUGAUGGUCUUUCGUUGGUAGUCGGAUUAGAUGUGUCGAGCCGCCGAAACCAAGCGCUCUGUAGACCUCCCCUGGCUACCCGAACAAUGCGAGUGCAUUGAAGUACUACAAGCAAAAACUCCACGAAUGUCGUACGAUAAUCCAAGACGAAAAAAGGGAGCAAUGAGAGGGCUUCCUUGACUCCAUCAACCCCGCCCCAUCAGUAGUCGAACUAUGCCGUUUUUACUUUAUUGAUUUACAGUCUUCGACAUAUUUACAUCGUACAGACUAAAACUUCAAUGCUAAUUCGCGACUUAAAAACAUCUCUACUAAUAUGCAAGUCAUACAAAUGACAAACAUUAUUAAAAGAAAUACAACAAGCAUCAAGCGAUAUUGCGUUCGGUGUGCUGAACGUCUGAAGAAUUCACUGAGGCGUAUCGUCCUUCCGGGAGCGUUGAAACGAAGCCUUUCCAGAAGUGCGGGACAGUCGAUGUUACCUUCAAGCAUGUCAUAAAUGAAAAACCUUUGGAACAAGGUUCUCCUCUCUCUCAAAGUAGGAAGAUUAAUAAAUGCACAACGGUGUUGAUAGGGUGGUAGCUGUUGCCGAUCCCGCCAUGGAAGUAUUCGAAGAGCACACGAUUACAGCGUCAGUCUGUACCCAGUGGCUAGGGUUCACUGGCACGAAGCGAGGAGCUGGCACUCCUCCACAACUAACAUAAACCGCUCCAUUGCGAGACGCGAGAGGGGGCAUCGCGGACAAUGGUGCCCAGGAACAUCACUGCUGACAAUCUUGCAGGAGUCGGUCACCAAGACCGGCGUUUCACGACACCGGUUUCCCCGGAGGAUCAAAAAGAUCGUUAGCCAAAUUUGGGAGAGCCAAGGGUCAGCUUCGGAAGGUCAAAGGAUCCUCAGUCCCCUAGAACGACAUGCCUAGUCUCAAAAACCAGCAAGUCAUCUCCCGCAUUCGCACCAGCACUCGAUUUUCACAAAACCUGGGAACCCCAUUCCGGGAGAUAAGUCCUCUAUUCCUCAACCACUACCUCAACAAGGGCAGAUGGGACACAUGCAUCACAUUUUGACACAGCAUGACCAACUCCCAUGUAGCAGGAAUACAGACUGCAGUCAAAUUUGAAAAAAAGCUAUGGUUUCACUUAUGGGGGUAAUAUUUACAAAACAAUUUUAAAAAAUGAUCAAUGUCCCCCCGGAUUACGGCACUUUUUAACAUUACUUUGAUAGGGAGACUACGAAGGGCAUGGAUGGCACGAAUGGUAUGAUUUACACGAAGGAAUUGAUGCUGUCAACAAAAGUGGAUCGGUCUGGUCAUCGACACGUUGAAAGCAAAGAACAUGAUAGGAAGAGGCUCAAGAGAAGACAACGUAAGCCACCCACAAGUUUGUAUCGGUGUUGGUGACGAAAUCGAACUGGUUGAAUAAUUCGUGUAUUUGGGGUCAUUGGUUACCUCCGAAAACGAGACCAGCAGGAGACGUAUCGUGGCAAGAAAUCGUACAAAAUUUGGACUCCGCGAGACGCCGUUCCAAACUGACUGUCUACAAUCGCUCAUUGAACCGGUUGUCCUCUACUCACACGAGAUCUGGACAAUGCUCAUGGGGGACCAGCGCGCACUUAGUGUUGACGUAUGCAAAAUAUCACCCGAGCAACACACUAGACAUACACCAGUUUAUGUGACUUCUGCAUAACCAGAUUCAGUCGUAUUUGAGUUAUAGCAACCAAAUCGGUCUGAAUUGUGCUGCUCGGGCAGCCAGUAAUGUCGCUUGACCCUGAGAAAUUUCUUAAUGUUUGAUACUUCAUUGGUGUGCCCUUAAGAGUGAUUGUACUUCCAUCGCUCAGUUCUACCACCAGAUAUUGAGGUCUGCUCUCUGUUCGCAAUUCGAGAAAUACUAUGCGGUGCAGGGUAGCUCUGGCCUCAUGGUCAAGCUGCGUCAUUCUGGUGGUGGUGUUGGAGAGUAGGUAUUUAGAAGUUGGGUAUGGAGUUCCCCAGGUCGUUAUGAUUUUCUAUACCGUUCGGACACAUGUGUCAGUUCAUCUGCGUAUGACAUAUGUUAUAUCCUUUUUAGGAAUUCUGUCAAUUUAUAAAUCAUUCUUCUUCUUCAUUGGCAUUACAUCGCCCACUGGGACAUUGUCGCCUCGCAGCUUAGUGUUCAUUCAGCACUUCCAUAAUAAUUAACUUCGAGGUUUCUAAGCCAAUUUACCAUUUCUGCAUUCGUAUAUCAUGAGGCUAGCACGAUGAUACUUUUAUGCCCAGGGAAGUCGAGACAAUUUCCAAUUUGAAAAUAGUCUAGACUGGCACCUUCAGCAUGGUUUUGUUUUGUAGCAGCGCAUCUUUCCGCACGGCUAAGGAGGAAUCCUAAAAAUCAUUGUUGGCGCUUAAUUUUCAUCAUGUCAAAAAUUUAGAUUUUUUUUGGAGAAAGCCUUGUUAAGAAUUAGAAUGAAACCUCGUAGAAAUGAUUAUUACUGAACAAAAUAUUGAUGGGGUGUGUCUUUACCUACUUUACCGCAGUAUUGAAAUAUUUCACAUGUAAAACCGAAACAUCAGCCAAGUGAGUAAAGUACAUAAAUAUCAAAACAUCGUAUAGCACUACAUAUUAACAACGAUUCGAUCCAUCAUGCAUUAGACCUAAUAUUUUGUAUUAACAAUAUAGUCCAUUUUGGUCAUUGACAUACACAUUUCAAGCAACAAAGUAAACUUGCUACAAAAUGAUAAUACAAUUGGUCCAUCAAUGACAAAUAUUUUUUUGAAUAUUAUGAAACGUAUAUACACGCACUCGCAUUGGGAUCAUCGAGAGAAUUUUAUCAUAUUAAACAGACAUGUUCAUUUGGGCAACACGAUCAUGCAUUUGUAAUUUCCCAGAAUAUCGUUGUGCCUCUUGAAUUCUACUAGAAUGGACUGUAUUGUUAAUACACUAAAUUUGAUAUAACUGUAAUUCAAAUUGUUGAGUAGCGGUUGAUUUUUCAGAGGAAUCAUAUUUUUGUCCAAGUUUUACGUUCUUGUGAAAUAUCUCAGUACAAAUAGAUAGAACACUAUUCAAACUAAUGCCACGAUUAAUGAAGCGUUACAAACCGUUUUACAAUAAUUGUUAUCAAUGUAUGAUAGUAUAGAACAAGCGAUCGUAAUCACGCUGCUAAACACUGAUAGAUAGAAGUAGUUGAGCCGAGCGGAAUCGAAAAACGAACAAAUAGGAAACAACAAAAAUUAGUACGUACUAAGGUUAACUAGAGGUGAACAAGCGAUAGUUACAACACAAAACAGAUUUAUAUGAAUAUAUAUUUUUGUUACAAUUGAAAUUUUUAUAACCGAAACGGAAAAUGAAGAAAAUGUGAAACAGAGUAGUAGUGCUAUUUUUAUGUCGAAUAAUUUAACGAAACAUUCUGCGCUGUAAAAGGAAAGCUUGUGAAACUUUUAGUGAUCGCUUCUCAACAUGUUCCAUUUCCUCAGCAUUUUCUAUCGUAGGUGCUUCGCGAUACUUUAAACGUUAGGGGGAAACUUUCCAGCCAAAAAUUAAAAUCACCCACGUGAAACUCAUUCUCACCAUUAACUACAUCACAGGACUGAAUUUACCGUCGUAGGUUCGUCGGGAAAAAUAAAGUUAUGAACUGCCAGAGAGAAUGAGUGCGAGAAAUGGUUAGUUCCAAAACCGCUGUUGCUACUUUUCGGUUCUAUUUCGAGUCGCUUUUUUACGUUUGCUUCACUUCAAAUUUAUUGUUCCUCGGGAGUGGAAAACUUUCCCGUGCCAGACAGGCAAACCGCUUCGCUCGUAAUUUCUAUCUUUCAGCUCUGUAAAUAUUACCUACUGGAGGAGUGAGCAACGAGUCCAGAAGUAACUGUAAAGUCAAACUUUAAACUAAAAACUUCUCUUGCUAACGAAAUAUGGAUCAGAAAAAGAAACUACUAUUACUACAACUACUAUUCACACAGAAAGGAAAGUACAGGGUCAAAGUUUAGUUUUAUUUUCCUACGAGUUCUCCCGGAGGAGAGAUAUUUAUUUUUCUAUUUGCAAACUAAACCGAAUUUACUUUGAAAGUUUAAAACUUGUAAGUGUUACCGAUCUAUUUGUGUCGUUUAUUGUGUUAACAAACUGGCGCGCGCUCUUUGUCGCAAUUUUGGAUUACCUUCAGAGCUUUGGCAAAUACCUUUGCGAAUAUUAGGCAUUAUAUUACUUCCGAAGAAUCACUGCCAAAAUUGAAAAAAACUCACUUAGAUUAGGAUAAUAAAAACUCAAACUAAUUAGCUACUGUCAUCAAAGUUACCGUUUACUGUAAAUUCACAUUUACUCUAACUGUGCAGAAACCCAACCGUCCUGGAAUGGUUGGGUGUCAUCUUCCUAAAAUUAAUGUUAUAACUGUCAUUUUUCGAUUGUCGCUACGUAUUACUCUUUAACCGUCACAUUGGUCUUUGAAAAGCAGAAAUCAAAAAACCACAAACCAAAGCGGUCGUUUGGGAGACAGACUGAAUGAUUGGGCAUGAUGCUAAUAAUAAAUCGAUGAAACUUC